AUUGAACGCUGGCGGCAGGCCUAACACAUGCAAGUCGAACGGUAACAGGAAGCAGCUUGCUGCUUUGCUGACGAGUGGCGGACGGGUGAGUAAUGUCUGGGAAACUGCCUGAUGGAGGGGGAUAACUACUGGAAACGGUAGCUAAUACCGCAUAACGUCGCAAGACCAAAGAGGGGGACCUUCGGGCCUCUUGCCAUCGGAUGUGCCCAGAUGGGAUUAGCUAGUAGGUGGGGUAACGGCUCACCUAGGCGACGAUCCCUAGCUGGUCUGAGAGGAUGACCAGCCACACUGGAACUGAGACACGGUCCAGACUCCUACGGGAGGCAGCAGUGGGGAAUAUUGGACAAAGGGCGCAAGCCUGAUGCAGCCAUGCCGCGUGUAUGAAGAAGGCCUUCGGGUUGUAAAGUACUUUCAGCGGGGAGGAAGGGAGUAAAGUUAAUACCUUUGCUCAUUGACGUUACCCGCAGAAGAAGCACCGGCUAACUCCGUG
rnacentral:rRNA from 1 species